CCCGCGAUCCAGCUCCUCGAUCCAUCAGCUCCCGCUUACUCCCGGAGGGCUCGCGCGGAUCGUGUCCCCAUCCGAUGCCUCUCCGAUUUCCUCGCUCGCUCCUUGCUACCACGAUCUCCUCUAUAAAUGCCGGCCCAUUCACUCCUGCCUCACAUUCAUCCUCCUCCAUCGACUCUUCCCCUCUCCUUAAGCCAACACACAAAUCAGAACCACCCAGGUUCGGAUGCUCUGACCGGCUAUCACAGGAUCGAUGCCAAUGGCCACGCCUGUGGCUCCUGCCUACUACUCAUGCGCAAUGUUACGCUCCAGAUUUUUGGUUCGAUCUGAUCUUGUCUUCUAUCUCUUUGACCUAGAUGGUUUAACCGGACAUGGAAACCGGAGAUGCGGGCAGCAAAAUGUUGGCCAUGGAACACUGCAAAAAUACAGAUAGAUACCAGGCAAGCUAUCAAGUGGACGUAGAUGGUUUAACUGGAUGAGGAACCGGAGAUGCGGGCAGGAGAACGCUGGACAUGCAACACCACAAAAACACAGACUAAUACUGGGCAAGAUAUGAAGGUACGUCGUGUCGAGUAGAAUGGGCCAGCCACCAUGCGUUUUAUUCACAUGGUUGAGAACAGAACAAAUCCACAUUCUUUUCGCUUUCAAACCUGACUCAUCAGCCAAUAGGCCAUGCACUUUUACUGCUUUCUCUCUUCUACUCUUGUCUGCUAGUUUACUGAAGGGAAACAUGUGCUUGCGUCCAUACAUCAAGAAAAACUCUGCCACCUACCUCUAACUGAAGAAAGAACUCUAAGGACAUCUAUCAUGCAAGAGCACGUAUUUGGAUGCAGGCAAUAAAAAAAUGAAUUAAAGAAGUGGUCUCCUGAAUUGCACCUACGUCUAAUUGAAGAAAGAACUCUAAGGGCAUCUAUAGUGCAAUUGUUUUCUUGUGGAAAAAAGGACAACGCUUGGUUAACAGGCUGAGGGGUAAGAAAAAAGAAUGAAGCGCCCGACGGCAGUCCUAGCAUCGAUGCUAGCGAGAAGCCUUGGAUUGGACGGAAUUGGAUCAUAAUGGCUAGGAAUUAAAGCCUACCUCCUGUCACAAGCGCCGGCUGGCGUU